UUUCCGUAGGUGAACCUGCGGAAGGAUCAUUAUUGUAUAACCGAGGUGCGAGGGCCGUCGCUGACCCGAAAGGUCGUGCACGCCCGAGUGCCCUCACACACAUCCACCUCACCCCUAUGUGCACCACCGCGUGGGUCCCCCUUUGGCUUGUUCGGAGGGGGGCUUACGUUUUCACACAAACUUUGUAUGCAGUGUAGAAUGUAUUUUUUGUUUUUGCGAUCACGCAAUCAAUACAACUUUCAACAACGGAUCUCUUGGCUCUC
rnacentral:misc_RNA from 1 species